CCUUAAAGAACCUGCCUUUGCAGUGCUCACACAGAUUGUCUGAUGAACGUAAAGAAGCAAGGCGUCUUGCGAUUGAGACUUCAGUGUCCCCUUCGUCUAGAGGCCCAGGACACCGCCCUUUCACGGCGGUAACAGGGGUUCGAAUCCCCUAGGGGACGCCACAUGCUGGUUCGUGAGUGAAAGACGCGUGCCGAACUAUCUCAAAACUCAUCUUCGGGUGACGUUUGAGAUAUUUGCUCUUUAAAAAUCUGGAUCAAGCUGAAAAUUGAAACGACACACAGUUAAUGUGUGUUCGAGUCUCUCAAAUUUUCGCAAUCUGAAGACAUCUUCGGGUUGUGA
rnacentral:misc_RNA from 1 species